UACGUAGGGCGCGAGCGUUGUCCGGAAUUAUUGGGCGUAAAGAGCUCGUAGGCGGCCUGUCGCGUCCGCUGUGAAAUCCCGGGGCUCAACCCCGGGCCUGCAGUGGAUACGGGCUGGCUGGAGGCAGGCAGGGGAGAACGGAAUUCCUGGUGUAGCGGUGAAAUGCGCAGAUAUCGGGAAGAACACCCGUGGCGAAGGCGGCUCUCUGGGACGGUACUGACGCUGAGGAGCGAAAGCGUGGGGAGCGAACAGG
rnacentral:rRNA from 1 species